UUUCCGUAGGUGAACCUGCGGAAGGAUCAUUAUUGGAUUUUGAAACUUCAGGCUGCUGCUGGCUCUCCUCGGAGGGCAUGAGCACGCUUGUUGUCCAUUAUUUCUCCCACUGUGCACAAAUUGUAGACCUUUCAGUAGGCCUAUGUUGUUUUUCACAAUCUCUGAAUGUAAUAGAAUGGUUUUGAAUCUUGGGAAAUACAAUACAACUUUCAGCAACGGAUCUCUUGGCUCUCGCAUCGAUGAAGAUCGCAGC
rnacentral:misc_RNA from 1 species